UCUCAGGAACAUGGCCUCCAACACAGGAGCCAGAUGUUUUACAGAGAAGCACAUCUAAUUUUAAAAUACAGACUGUGACAUAUUUAACAUUCAUGCAUUCCUUGGUCCCACUAUGUCCACCAAGUUGGUAAGCAGAGUAUAAAUAUGGGACUACUGGAAGGAGAUUGGGCUUCUCUGGUAACUCAGAAGGUAAAAAAUCUGCCUGCGAUGCAGGAGACCUGAGUUCAAUCCCUGGGUCAGGAAGAUACCCUGGAGAAAGAAUUGCCAAUUAUAAAUACAGGACUAUUGAAAAGAGAUGAAAUACUUUUGGGGAAAUGUCCGUCAGGUAUUUUAUUUUAGGAAGGAAAAUAAGAAGUAUGUUUGAUCAAAUAUCCCCUGCAAUAUGGCCAUGGGUUCCUGGUGCUUUUGGAUACAAAAACUUGUGGUCAAGGUUUGUGUGGCAGCUAUGCUGCAUAAGGGUGUGGGAAUUUAGGCGAAAUCUCCAUAUCUCUUUGGGCCUCAGUUUCCUCAUCUGUAAGAGAAGGUUAUUCCAAUUCUCCAAAUUCCUUUCCUGCUGAGUUUUUUCUGAGUGAUAAGAGACUGAGAUGCAUGUUAAAUGUGCAGUGGGAUCUGCAGCCAAGACCUGAUCUUGGUUCUUUCUCUGUGUGUCUCCUAUAGGAGCCUCAACUGGGCCCACACACUGGAAACACAGAGAGGAGAGAGGGAAUGGAAGAAAGGAAAUCAGCAGGUUCAGACGAUGAGAAAACCCAAAGAAAAGCAAGGUAAUGGUCGAGGAGCUGUUUGCCAAGGGAGGUGAGGAUAAGGACAAGUUGAGCUUGGAAAGUUCAAUAGGAAGUGAGGAAUGCACAGCAUCAUCUAAGUUCUCAAGGAGCAACCUGAGCUGAGCAGGAAGGACCAGGAGAGUAACUUAGUCCACAGUGAACUUGUGCACCUGCCAAGAAGAUCCACAGGAUGGAUCCAGUUGGCUUAUACUGCUGGGAGCACCAGUUCCAGGAGGAGGAGGAGGUUUAUACUGCUGGGAGCACCAGUUCCAGAAUGAGGAGGAGGAGACCUGAGGCUCUGCCCUAGACCCCCAGCCUGAAACGUGGAAGCGCCCACAUGUGGAUGUCCUCCAAGUAAGUGUGCAAGAAGGUGGGUAAAUGGUGUUUGCAGAUAAUUAGAGAUCUUCAUUCUUAUCAGGGGCCAGGAUAAUGGGACUCAUUACUGAAGCAGAGAUGGUAAUAAUAUUCUUCUGCAUGUACAAUUUUGAGGCUUUACACACAUCAUCUCUUAACUAUAUGUUGAGGACUUAAUUUGCAGACAAGAAAGAGUAUGAAUACUGUUCCAUUGUAUAAAUUUGUUAAAAAGGCUAAUUCAUCUAAACUGGCAAUGGUUGCUUGGGGCUAAGAGUUCAGGCAGUGAUGCACUGCAAAGGGGAACAAGGAAAGUUGUGACCAAUGGAAAUACCCUGCAUCUUGAUUCUGGCUGUGGUUUCCAUAGUGUAUACAUCUAUCAAAAUGCAUUUAGUUGUAUAUUUUUAAUGGUGCAUUCAAGAGGACUCAUAUAAAAAUCUACCACAUUUCCCCAUACCAGCAGUAUUAGGAAAUGAACUUCAGUAAAACAUAACAGAGAGAAACAUCCAUGAUCAUUUAAUGCUUAAGAAUACAGAUACUGACGACUCCUGAAAACUAUUGCUAAGAGAAAUUAAAGAAGACCUCAAUAAACAGAAAUAUACAUUAUAUUCAUAGAUUGGAAGACACUAUGUUUAGAUUGUCAAAUCCUUGUUCUUCUGAAUAGUAUUGCAGCUGGCAUUUGGGGGGAGGUAUAGUUUUGCAGGCGAAUUAUAACAUAUAAGUGGAAAUCAAAGUAUCUCAAUUAGCCAAGAUGGAGAAUUAAGUUGGAGGAUUUACUCUACUAGAUUUCAAAACUGAGGUUAAAACUACAGUAAGUAAGACACUCUACUAGUUUAACUAAACAGCACACAAAUGAAUGAAAGAGAAAAGAGUAGAAAAGUUACCCACACCCAUAUUCAGUUUUUUAAUAAAGUCACCAAUAUGAAUCACGGGGUAAUGAUAGACUUUUCUGAAAAAUAUCUGUUGUGAUAAACAGUAUCAAGUGAGAAAUUAUUAAUACAUUGGGGAAGUUUUCGGUAAAAUGCAGUAUAGGUGAAGGAAACAGCUAGUUGAAAGAACCUGACACCAGAGUGAACUGGAAAAUGUGGGCUGGGGUUUCGCAGUAGAAGGGACGCUGCCCGGGUGUGGCUCCAGCACUUACAGCGAGGGGGUCUUGGCCCGUUAGAGACCCUCUCUGUGCCUCAGUUUCUUCAACUGCAAAGCAGCAGAGAGUUAUGCUUUUGGCACCAGUCAAUUUUGAACACUAGAAGUACCAAAAAUGAAAUAAUCAUCCCCUCGAAUCAUGAGGGAGGUCAAUGAAAUCAGGGGGUAAAACUAAGUGCACACCUGAGUACCUUUCACAAAUAGAUUCCAGGUCCCACCUCAACUCGCUGAACCACAGUUGCUUCAGGAGAGGACGGUGCACUUGUCUGGGUGCUAACUCUCUGGGUGACUCUUAGAAUGAUCAGCUUGGGGACAGAACGCACUGAGAUGUAUGACUUUUACCUAAACAUAGAAGUAGGACAGAGCAGAAGCACAGGGUGUUUCCAAUGCAGUGACUAAAGCAGAGAACUGUUGGAAGACUCCAGAGUUGAAGGACUAGGCCCAUCUGACCCCAUUUUAGUCUUGUCCAGUUUACAGCAGAGACGCGAGUCCUUGGGGACACAUGCCUGUGGCAGCUGACCAUCCACCUUGAGGAAAGUGAGGCCUAAUUUUUAAUUCAGUCUGGUUUUGAGUGAAAGCUAAAUUCACCCUUGUUUGCUCAUUGAUGGGACCAAUCUUCUCCAAGCCGCCACUUUCUAAAAAAUAAAUUGCAUUGCUAUAAAUGCAAACUUCAACAAUGAUGUUUGUUAGAAAAUUUUAUAAAUACCCAAGCCACCUAACAAGAAACCAAAAAGUUAGCAAGAGCAUUCAAUUUCAGGAGAGUUCGGCCC